UUUGAGACACAGCUAAGCUAAGCUUGAACGUUAGCCUGCCACCAAGAAGGUUAGUUCUGGUGCAUAAGUUACCAUGGUUACUCAGCGGGCAUUCAAAUAAGCCACGUUGAUGGAACAGAACUCUGGCUUAAAUGGGCCAGACUUAUCAGUGGAGCGGGGGAUCAAAUCGCAACUGCAGAGGUUGUGAGCAGGUUGAGUCUCACUCUCAGGGGAAAAGCAAGGAGGGGCCUGAUCCUCUGGGUGUUUGACGGACGGAAAAGGUGAUGAUGUUACGUCGAGUCAAGGGUGUACCACGAACAAAAGACCAAAGAAACAAUCAGGU